rnacentral:rRNA from 1 species
GACGAACGCUGGCGGCGUGCCUAAUACAUGCAAGUCGAACGCAGUUUCGAACGGUUUAGUAACGCUUAGUUAACUUCCUCAUAGCGGGGGUUAACUCUUUGAAACGUUAGCUAAUACCCCAUACUGUGAGCUUGACCUGCGUUGUAUUAGCUAGUUGGUGGGGUAAAGGCUCACCAAGGCGACGAUACAUAGCCGACCUGAGAGGUGGAGCGGCCACACUGGGACUGAGACACGUCCCAGACUCCUACGGGAGGCAGCAGUAGGGAAUCUUCGGCAAUGGACGGAAGUCUGACCGAGCAACGCCGCGUGAGUGAAGAAGGUUUUCGGGUCGUAAAGCUCUGUUGUUAGAGAAGCGGUAACUAAAGAGAAAGGGACGGCUAACUACGUGCCAGCAGCCGCGGUAAUAC